rnacentral:ncRNA from 19 species
GUUCUUUAGACAUUAAAAGCUUCUAACAUGAUAUGGAAUCCAAGAUUCCGAUAUCAUGUUAGAAGCUUUUUUGUU